rnacentral:lncRNA from 1 species
UCAUCCCCAUACCCCUUUCCCCAGUGCAGGGUAGCAAAUCGGACAUGUGUCUGGUUAACCUCUCUUCUAUUUCUCUCUCUCUGUAUAAUUCACUCAGUAACCGAAAUGAGGCCAAGCCAGAUUCACUCGAAAUCAGAAUCAACAGCAGUCAUGUGCGGCAGCACUUAUGCUUGGACUAGCAGAAAAAAAAAAAGGAGAGGCUGCAGUUUUGCAGAAAGGCGAAGCAGUGUUAGUGAUAGCCAAGUAUGCGACAAUUACACGAAGGAAGAUUACACCAGCAAGGGGACCCAGGCUGUGAAAUUGAACUGUCUCCUACUAUGAGGUCUUGUAUAUACUUAGCGCCGUUACUUCAGUGCUCAAGUCUUCGAGGUCAAACGAAGUUUCUUGAAGUGCAAGAAAUAUAUAUAUAUAUAUAUAUGUAUCGUAAGGAACCGCUUUAUUCCAGCCAAGCUCGGACUACUACCUCGAGGAUUAAACUGUGCUGCUAGUGAUGAUAUAUGCAGAUGAAAAAGAUGUGCAGAUGAUGAAGUUGAAAGUCAGGCAUGUGUUGUGCCCAUGCUAAUUCUCUCUCGCUGUGGAAGCGGCCGCCUGGCUGCGCGAAGCCAUCAUCUGGUGCUGUGUACAGCAAGCACAUGCUUCGGGCAAGGAGGGAGCCAGCACCAUAUCUACAUCAGCAAGAACCUCGGUGCUCAAAAUAAACAUUUUCUGUGCAAA